rnacentral:lncRNA from 1 species
GUGAGCGUGUGCGAGGGCGAGUGUGCGCGCGUGUGUGAGUGUGUGCGCGAGUGUCUGUCUGUGCGGGGAUCGGGGGCGGGCGGUUUGGGCUCUCCUGGCGGAGAAGCCGCCGCCGCUGCCGCCGCCGCCGUCGCCGCCGCCGCUCGGGCUCCGGCGCUUCUCGCUGCGCAGGUUUGGAGCGCGCGCCAUUUUGUGAGAUUUACAAAAUCCUCCUCGGGAAGAAGCCACCGGGAGCGGCCGCCACUCGGCGCCCGGCCUCGCCGCCGCCGCCGCCCUCAGCGCCAGGCCGGGCCGCGCGGCCCCGCCGCCGGGACUCAGGGCCCGGGGACUGCGGUAUUUGCCGGGGAGGGGCUGUCGCCUCCCCGGCCCCGGGCGCCGCUGGAACCGCGAGCCGGAGAGAGACGGAACGGGCUGCGGCGCGGUCAGGAGCCGGGAGCGCCGGGGGCGGAGAGAGGCGGCCGGGGCGGCGCUGGCUGCGGAGGCCGCGGCGGGAGCGCGGCUCGGGAGCCCGAGGCUGAGACUCACCGGAGGGAGCGGCGCGAGCGCCCCGCCAUCGUCCCGGUGAGUGUCCGGCCCGGCCGCGGCCCGCCCGGCUCGGCUCGGCCCGGCCCGACCCGGCGCUCGCCCCGGAGGCCUGCAGCCGGGCCCGCGCCGAGGCCGGCCGGCCGGCCGGGCGGGCGGAGGGAGGGACCUGCCAUUUUAGGAGGAGGCGCCGCGGGCCCGGGGCCGGCCGCCGGGGGAGGGAGCCCGGGGAAGGCCGGGUCCCGGAGGAGAGGCGGGCGCGAGCGGAGGGAAAGCUGCGGAGGGUGGGAGCGGGGCCUGGGGGCUGGAGAAAGCGCCAGACCCUCACUGGCCGCCCGGGCGGAGGGAGGAGGGUGUCUCCUCCUCCUCCUCCUCUUCCUCCUCAUCCUCUUCCCCCAGCUCCUCCCUCGUCCCUCCUCUCGGUCCCCACCAGUGCGCGAACCGCUGGGGUUCUUGGCAAGGACAAUGCACGGGUUAAGAAAAUGGGGCUGGCUGCCGGGAAGGCGAGGGCGCGGGGCCGGGCCGGGCCGGGCGCAGGCGAAGGUCGGCGGCCCGCGCCGGUCCGGGCCCGGCGGGCCCCGAAGUUGGGCACCCGAGGCGGAGCGGUGA